UUCUUCUCCCUUCCCUUCCCUCCUUCUUGUUGGGAAUCUAUGAGCGGUUAGACUCAAAAAUAACCCUCUUUCGGGGGCGAUUCUUCAAAAAUACAAGAGAGUGGCAGAACUAUGAUUCAUAAACAGCAGAAACUUACGUAUGGUGAGAUUGGAGAAGCCUUUGUUUCUUAGGAUGGCAAAGGAUUGCAAAGUCUCCUUGAAAGUUCAAAAAAGCAUUUAUUGAGGUAAAAAGAAAUCCAUUGUAGGUAGAAAAAGGUUCUUGGAGCUAACUAGCUCUCUAGGCUAGCAUCUAAGGAAGGUAAGUAGGUAAAAAUAACAAAAUAUCUAAAUAGCUACAUUUUGCGAGGAUAGUGGGCAAAAUGUGUCUUUCUCAGGUAGAAGACAAAGGAGGAAGAGAUAUGCCUGACCGCAUGGUCCAAGCCUUUGGGGCAAUUAACAUUCCAAUCAGGAAGUUGCCUCAUCCCUAAAGGGUUCACAUUACUAUAUCAACAAGGUGAGGGAGUGGAUAUAAACAGGAAAGCAAGAGAGAAACCAGCAAGGACCUAUCUAGGCAUGCUUGGAAUAUAGAGAGAGGGUUCCCUCAGUCUGAUCCUAUCCACUACAUAACUAAUUGAGACUUGUGCAGUCCAGGAUGAUAUCCAAGACUUCCUCCUUUUCUUUCCCCCUUUCCUUUUCUUCCCUCCUCCGUCUUCCUUUCCCUUUCUCCUCCCUCAUCCUUCCUUCCUUCCCUUCAUUUUUCACUUUCUCCUUCCCUUCCCAUCCCUUCCUUCCCUCCUCCCUCCCUCCUUCCCAUCCCUUCCCUCCUUCCCUUCCAAUGCACAGGAAGGGCCUCUGUGCUGGUGUCUCGCCUCCUCGCCAGGGCAUCUCACCUCUGGGUGAUUAAUUAUCCCCUGAGCAUGCUGACUUUUUCACCUCCAGACAUAAUUCAAAGUUGCGACAAAAAAGCCCUGUGUUUUUCUUCUCCCUGGUCCAUUUAAUUAGUUACACAUGUCUAAUAGAGAGAGAGAGAGAGAGAGAGAGGGACCCCCGCCUUGGUCGGCCGUUGCUCGCUUCCUUCCUUCCUUCCUUCCUUCCUUCCUUCCUUCCUUCCUUCCUUCCUUCCUUCCUUCCUUCCUUCCUUCCUUCUUCUUUAAAGGGAUGAGGCUUUCAUUACCUUCCCAGGGAUCCUGUGCUGUGCCAUCCCUCCCUCCCCUCUCUUCUUCCUUCCUUCCAUCCUUCCCAUUCCUAUUCAGGCCAUGGACGCAAGAAGCAAACCCGGUAGUGUCUUCCUCAACACCUGAGCCAUUCACCUGGAAAGGUGCGGCAUCCCUUCUUGAAAGGAGCAGCUCUCUGAUGAUAUCCUGAAGGCUAUCUAUCUAAUCUAUCUAUCAUCUACAUAAUAGUAUAAUAUAACUAGCUGUGCCCGGCCACGCGUUGCUGUGGUGUAGUCCUAAGUGGGGUUUUCUUCGUGGCAUUCAAGGUGGCCUAGAAAGGAUUCCCCUAGAUACGAAGCAGCCAGGCUUUGAAGCUGCAAGGCUAUUAAAUGGUAUUCAAGUUGACCAACAAUGGAAUCCACUAGGUAUGACGCAGCCAGGCUUUGAAGCUGAAAGGUCACUCCUUGGAAAGUGAUGAGUUUUGUGGCCAAAUUUGGUGUGAUUUGGCCCAGUGGUUUUGUUGUUAACUCGGUCCUAAUUAUGCACAUUACAUCUUUAUAUAUCAUAUUACAUAGUGUUAUUAUUCAUGUGUGUAUAUCUAUCAUCUAUAUCUAUAUCUAUAUAAUAUAAUAUAUAUAAACAUUGAGUUACGUAUUGUUAUUAUUUAUGUGUUUCUAUAUCUAUGUGUGUGUAUGUGAAUGAUUUUGGAAUACUUGUCCAUACGAGAUCAUUUGGAGUUGAGACACAGGUCUAAGCACAACAUACAUUGAUGGAAAAAAAAACCAGGAAAAACUCAGCCGGUCUCAGGACCUCAAGAUUGAACUUCAAAGACUCUGGCAGAAACCAGUGCAGGUGGUCCCGGUGGUGAUGGGCACACUGGGUGCCGUGCCAAAAGAUCUCAGCCGGCGUUUGGAAACAAUAGACAUUGACAAAAUUACGAUCUGCCAACUGCAAAAGGCCACCCUGCUGGGAUCUGCGCGCAUCAUCCGAAAAUACAUCACACAGUCCUAGACACUUGGGAAGUGUUCGACUUGUGAUUUUGUGAUACGAAAUCCAGCAUAUCUAUCUUGUUUGCUGUGUCAUAAUAAAAUAAUAAUAAUAUUACAUGCCUGUCCUUGUGGCUUAAGACAGGACACAACGUCUUAAGACGAAGUGACAAAACACUAUUGAAAACACAUAUAACAACGUGCUUUUGCCACCUCUGCAGGUCAACGUUGCCUCCCCCCCUCCUCCUCCUCCAGGCUGUCACUCGGCUUGAUGCUCGCUUCUCUGUUGCCAUGGCAACCGUAGGUGAUGGUACCUGGCCGGCAUCCAUCCAUAGGCCCUUUGGCAUCACAAAAGGGCCGGCCUCUGACAACCCUCUCAUUGGUCCUCAUGCUGCAUUCCCAAGGCAGGCAGAGAAAUUUAAUGGCUGCUGCUUUCAAAGGAAGAAAUAGUGGAACCUAUUGGGAGGGAGGUGAAGAUGCCAAUGUGGGUGUUGGUCCCCAUAGAAUCAGAUGCAUGCGCUAUCCCCAAGAAGCAGCACACCUGGCAACGGACUUUGGCUUCUGAUGGCACCAGGAGACACAGAAAUAUACUGGAAGCAAAGCUGAAAAGAUGUAGUCCUCGAUUGCUGGAAAACUCUGCAAAGAAUCGUCACAGUUCUCUUUUUUCUGCACAAAAGUCCAACGUGUGAAUUUUCUGCGAGAAAAAGUCCCCAAUUACAAAUAGUCUUAUGAACAUUUUCAGCAAAAAACCCCCCUUAUUUUGCACACCAUAAGUCCUAGAGGUUGAAAAAUGAUGAGUAGUGCCCACCGUGCAAUGAAUCCAUAGGAACUGAGCACAUAUCAGAAUAAGUGUAAUUGACUCAACAGAUGAACCAUUGGACUAGACCAGAGAAACCCAAUGCACGGUUGCUGAAAGCGCUUGGAGGAAUUCAACAUGAACUCUCUGUUUAGAACUUACCCACCUCUCCUCCUUUUUUUAGUAUAUCAUAAACCCAGGAAUUCGUCAACGUUUACAAAAGUCUCUGGGAGGAUAAAAAUUCACUUUAUAUACAAAGAGCUGUUCCCUGCCAACCUUUUGCUUUUGAAACCGGGCGGCUUUUUGCCAAAACGUGGUCUGGAGAAUGAUUUAGUGGUGAUCCCAGUGAUUCAGUUUGGGAACUAACCAUUGGAUCGGGCCAGAGAAAACGAACAUGCUCAGAAGAAUCGGGCUUCUCGAAACAAACCCUUUACGCAUUGUGAGUUAUGCACUUUGCAAAAGGAGAUUUCUGGGUCUGCAUGCACACAGGGGGCAUUUUUGCACAGAUUUCUGUGUUUAUGUGCAUACAGGGGGGAUUUCUGCACAGAAAUGUCAGGUCAAGGGCUACAGGUGUCUGGCGCUUGAGAUCUGCUUCCCUAAACGAGAAGGUAGGAAGUUGGACCCUUUAUGGGAUAGUGUGUGUAGGGUAUGUCUUGAGGAAACAGAUAACAAUUUUAAUGCCUCGUGAAGGGCUCCAAAAUGUCUAGAGAGAGGCUGAUUGUCCAUCUCGGCUCCCUCUCCAGAGCAAACACAGCUUCCAUCCGCCGGGGCCUUUCUGGCUUCCCACUCGCUGCGCAGCCAAUGCCGGAGGCUACGGGAAUAUUUAUGAGGCUUGUUAAACCUUCAGGACUUGGGCCUAAUUGUCUGCCACCAAGCCUUCCUCCUCCUCCUCCUCCGCUGCCCCCAUCAUCCCUGAGGGAAGGAGGCCUUUGAUUUAAGAUCCUUUUCCAAGCUGGGCGUUGGCACUCGGAGACAAAUUAACAAUGUGUGUGAGGAAGGCCAAAGGAUGGAUAAUGGCAGGUCUCUUCUCUGAAGCUUGGACUCCAAGGGGAAAAUUCCAUCUCAGUGGAAGGGCUACCAGAAGGUUCUCUUGAGCCCACAUCAAAACCAUUCUGCCUUUCUUUUGACUGCGACUGCAGUUGGAAGACCCAGUCCCUGCAAUUCCCCCAAAUAUUAGCUUAGGUCCUUCUGCUUCCGGUAUGAAAUUGUCCAAAAACGGAGAGGGGUGGACUCACCACAGUAUGAGGUCUUCAAAGAGACUGUCAAGGGCCUGGCACAGAAUCUCUGUUAAGGCAGCCACUCACUGUCUCGUAGUCAAAGGGCAGUCCAUAGUCAAACACAGCAAGACAGUAAAAUUAGGGCAAAAUAUAAUAGUCCAGAGUUCUUUCCAAGAAUCAAAGCCAAGCAAUCUCACCAACACAAGCCAUAAUCAAAGUCCAAUCCAAGAAUUCACCAACAGAGAUUUGGGCUGCAGCAGUCCACAACGUUGCUCCCAGCAAGUAACAACUACCAGCUCCAACCUCCAGCUAUUUAUGCCACUUUCACAAGUGCUCUCACUUGUUGGCACUCCAAUUGGAUCUCCUCUGUUGGAAGGCAUCAGUCCUUAAUAGCUGGAAUGAUUAAUUCAUGGUCCAUGACCUGGAGCUCCUGAUCCUACCAUAACCCUCUAUCCCUACUUCUCUGAGCAUCCUGCUCUCUGCUUGCCCCUGACUCAGAUGCUAGGCAAAGAAGCCCUUCAUAUUUGUCCUCAUCACAGGCCCUGACAGAGACAUUGAGUGGACAUCCCUUGGGAGUCCUUUGCUAGUGGGUUCAGGGGUCGGACUAGAUGACCCUUGUGGCCAUGGGACUCCAAGAAAGCCCUGCAACACAUACACUCAGCCUGCCGGGCCUCUGAAAGCCAGGAUAUUGUCCCCAUCAUCACCGUCAAAACCUUUUUCCAGGUAUGAAGACAAGAUUAAACUGUACAGGAUGUUAUAAUGCAACUGGGUUGCCCUGUCCAAAAGGCCCCUGCGGCUGUCGCUCAAAGCCUGUCCUAAUGGGAAAGUUCUCCCCGGCUGGUGGAAAGGCAAGGAGGGCGGAGGGAUUUCCAAGGCAGCGGCCAAGAAGAACAUUUCCCUCUGGACCGUCGGAGCAGCCAGUUGACUCCCGCCAUCCCAUAAAUAACAGCGACUCCAGCAGCAGGUCUGGCAAGCAGCGCUUGCACUCUGACAGCCAGGCUUUCUUCUCCAAAGGAAAAUCCAUUUCCACCUCACAUAACUCAGCCCUGUCAUGAGUUUUUGACCUGAAAAUGUAUGAUUUCAUUGAACAGAUUUCCCCCCCUCAAACCCAUGGCUCACAUUCAUCAACACCUUUUUUCAAAGCCUGCAGAUUCUUCCCACGAAGUGUGUUCUCAGUGAAAGGGUUUUCGUGGUGUUGUGACUGACUGUGAUGGUGGAGACGCAUUGGGAAGGUCCAAAUUCUCAUGGAAAUAGAGCCGAGAUCCUCUUGGUGUCCUACACUUUGCAAAUUCCUUUACACUUGAGGUUGUACUUUUGGGAAAGCUGACGUACGCCAUUCGCGGUUGGGUUCAAUUGAGUUCCAAUUUCACAGCAGACCAGAUACUAUCUAAUGUCCAUCCGGUAUUUAAAUCUAUGGGAUUUGCCUCCGCGUCGAGUCAGCGUCCAAUUCAAUGGGUCUGAUCUGUUUGGGAUUAGAAUGUCAGCCAUGUGGUUGUACAUUCCUGGCCGGUGCGCUUCUCUCCUUCCUCCAUGUCUUUUGUGUGCCAUUGAUCCCCUGGGAUUGCAGAAACGGCCCCAUUGCACAUGGGACAAUGAGCAUCAUUAGUAUUGAGCAGACGGGUGAUGUGUGUGAGACUGUAUAUUUGCCGUUGGUGAGCAAGAGAGAGAAAAUAGCAUUCCUGAGAAUGCUAUUCCUGAGGCCGACGAACUUGCCAUAAUAAUUCCACACGGAAUCAAUGCCGUGGUAGGGGAAUGAGUGGUCUUUGCUGCAAUGGUCAGAUUAUGAUUCAAAAGUCUUGACUGGCUUGCAGGCUUCCAUAUUUGUGAACAUCAAGAUUGCUUCCAAAGGCAAGACCAAUUGCUUCAAUCUUUCUGAGAGCACUCAAAGAAUACCAUUCUGAGAUAAAAUGAUCCGAUAGCAGAGAGGGAGGUUCGGGUGCGAGGAGGAGAGAGUCCUCGUUCUGUGCCCAGACUGGGCUUACUUUUGCUGCUUUUGUGAACGGCCCCUUCCCUUCUUCCUGUCCGGCCCUUUUCUCUCCCAAAUUCCAGUGCAUCCCUCCAUCAGCAGGUUGGGCAUUGUCUUCUGCCCGGAGAGCAUUAGUGCUGAUGGAGCGGCUUUGGCAUCUCUCUGUGUGGGAAAUGGCAUUUGUCUGAUCCAUUGACUGGAACAACCACGUUGAGCUCCCUAAAUCCCAGCUGCUUUUCUGACAGCUCACGGAAGCUUCGCUCUGGCUGUUCAUUCGGCCGGGGAUUUGGGAUAUUUGCGUCUGUGAGAGGGAGAUUAUUAUUCCCAUCGUUCGGGCGGAGGGAGAGAGAUGGGGAGGGGUCCUCGGGGGGGGCUGGCUUCCAUCUCCAUCCACCGAAAGGCCCAGGACGCAUUCACAGGACGGCCUCCCGCACGGGGCCCAUUGAGGCCCAGAGGAAGGGGCCGCACAUGGGUGCGCAACCCGUGAUUUUCUCCGCGGCGGUGGCCUUCUCAAACACCAUGCGUGUGGAUGGGAAAGAUAGCAUCCUGCAGGGCCGGAGAUACGUUGAGAUGGGAAAGGGGGAAUCAUCUCAGGCGGGGGGCAGAGAGGGAGAUGGAGAGAUUGCUGCCUAUUCUAAUAUAUUUGCAAAUGUAUCAGGUUGCAGGAGAUGGGUCUCUCUCUCUUGCUUGGGGCUGAUGGAGUCUGUGCCAUUGGCAUUGCAGCCAGGAGGAAAGAACAAAACCCUCCAGAGUCCUGGCUUGAUGAUAAUUUAUUUAUUUACAGUAUUUAUAUUCCGCCCUUCUUUCUCACCCCGAAGGGGACUCAGGGCGGAUUACAAUGAACACAUAUAUGGCAAACGUUCAAUGCCAACAAACAAACAACAUACAGUAUAGACAGACACAGAGGCAUUUAGCAUUUUUCCAGCUUCACGAUUCCGGCCACAGGGGGAGCUGUUGCUUCACCGUCCACUAGUGGCUGUACAUCCUCAUUCCUUUCCUCGUGUUUUGCUGGCAGUUUUAUGGUGUUGUAAAUUAGUUAAAUUAGCCUCCCGCAUAAAGCGUACCUAAAUUUCCCUACUUGACAGAUGCAACUGUCUUUCGGGGCUGCAUAGGUCAACAGCAAGCCGGGCUAUUUAAUGGUCGGGGGCUUAACCCAACCCGGGCUUCGAACUCAUGACCUCUCGGUCAGUAGUGAUUUAUUGCAGCUGGUUACUAGCCAGCUGCGCCACUGGCUAGUAUAUAAAUAUUAUUAUUUAUAAUAAUAAAAUAUGACUAUCGCUAUUGUUAUGAUAUAUUACUACCUCCUCUUGUGGCUCAAGGCGGGGUCCGCUCUGGCACAACUAAGCCUUGAAGAUCUCAAGCGAUGAGCAAUGGAAGACCUUGUAAGGUUGGAAUGACUUGUAAGGUUGCCUUUCAGAAUCAGCUUGCAAACAGUGCCAGAACCGCAGACGUGGGGCCUGUCCAACGAGGUUUCCACAAAUCCCAAUCUCCUAAAGGAAAGGUCUGAGCGAAGGCUUAAUGGACUUCCACUCACCUGGGACAAGAUGGGCUCAUUGUUGUGGAAGAAGAGAAGGAGAGGUCCUCCACACUCAUAAAACAUGGGCCGUUCUUCCAUCUCCAGGAGAGACACACAAAGCCACAGGUCCUCCAUUAGUACUCUGGGCAUAAAUCAAUGGGAUUCGUCCAAUUCUGUUGGGAAGUAUUUUGUUUCUGGAAGUCUGAGAUGCAGAGAUAUCAUGUCGUGAGAACAUCGGAGGCUCUGGAAGAUGGUUGCAAGUCCCAUCCCUCUUUGAUGAAGAUACAAGAAGUGCACAGAUGGAAGCGGCGGUAGAGGCAACCCAGUCCAUUAUGUGCCUUAUGUCUAUUAUGUGCGUCAGGACAUGAACACAUCCAUUAAGGUUCUGGUUGUAUGUUUGGAGGGCAGCUUUCAUGCUCUGGAUGUUCUUCUUGCAGCAGCCAGAUGAGCAGCCAGACGCCUGCAAGAUGUGUUUAUUUGUCUCCCGCCCCGUCCAGCAGCCACGAGUGAUUUGCACCCGGCCGGGAAGACACACAUUUCAGACUUCCAUGUUACUAUUAUUUAUGCAUCUGAAAUAUUUAUACCUUGUCUUUCAGUGCAGUUUUUCAAGGCGGCCUCGUGGUUGAGAUUAAAAACAAUACAUCAGCGCCGACCGAGACGCGCCACACGCGAGGAGCGGAAGGUCUGGCUCAGUCGAGGAGGAUUUCUUUUAUGAAGAGAAUGAGCUGAGCAUUGCUGGAGCAAGAGUGCCUGCAGUCAUUAAAAAACAGGUUCACACCAGGUUCUGUUUGGGUUCUCCAAAAUGGAUUCACACCGGGGGGGGGGGGGGUUGCAGCUGCUUUGAGUCUCCUUGUAAAGAGAAAAAUCAUGUAUAAAUAAUGAUGAUGAUGAUGUUAGAUAGAAAUGGCAAAGUAUUUCUAAUCAUGGAAGAAAGACAGCCACUAAUGACCUAUCAGCAGGUGGCGAUAUAAAGACUAUGAAGGAAUCCGUCUUCCUCUCUCCUGUGUGACUCAGUGCGAGUAUCUGCCUAUGUUGUAUGUUUUGACUCUGAUUGUUUGCAAGCACAGGGAAUGAGGAUCUGCAAAUCCUGAUUGUAUUUUUGUAUAUAUUGCAACAGUGAAGAUUAAAGGCUCUGGAUAUUCUGAAUGAAAACUUGAAUCCAUGAGUUUACUAAGCAGCGUAUAGAUGUUGGCAGUCGGACUCUGCUGGUAGACAGGCUGAAGUGUGUUUUGAUGUGAAGGGACUCUGCUGCAUUUUGCUUGCUUCUGGGACACUUGCGAUCCAGCUUGCAGCAGUUCAGGGAGGUUGUGAUGUGGAAACUAUAAAUAACUUCACGUACCAGCAUCCUGCGACAAAUAAUGAUGAUGAUAAUAGCAACAACAACAACAACAACAACAACAACAAAAUUGUGGCCAAGAUUUUGGCAAAAAAGGUACACAUGUUCAAGGGAGAGUUUGUUCAGCAGGUUGCAAUGCACUGGAUUCUAGAACUGGAGGGGACCCCAAAGGCCAUCUAGUCCAACUAUGCAGGAAAGCCCAACUCCAGCACUCCCGGAAGUGUGGGCUGACCACAGAAUGGGCUGCACUUAAUAAUAAUAAUAAUAAUAAUAAUAAUAAUAAUAAUAAUAAUAACUUUAUUUUUAUACCCCGCCCCAUCUCCCCGAAGGGACUCGGGGCGGCUUACAUGGGCCCUUGCCCGAUAAGACAAUCAAUAUCAAUAGCACGACUAUAAAACAAUUAUACCAGUAAAACAUCAAUAGCAAUAAAACAAUCGUUAAAAUCAGCAAAAAGCAUAUAAAAAACAUACAAUAUUAAAACAGGAGACUAAUUCAUCAAAUCCAGAACAGAAUGUGCCAGUAGAAAUGGACAAUAAAGUGCAAAGGCCCCUUAGUAGACCUUUCAGCCAAUGGGAGAUGACUGGAUGUCGGAUCAUGAUGUCAACCAGGUUGAGGGGACCCCAGAGGCCAUCUAGUCCAGCUAUGUAGGAAAGCCCAACUCCAGCACUCCCGGAAGUGUGGGCUGACCACAGAAUGGGCUGCACUUAGGCCCCUUAGUAGACCUUUCAGCCAAUGGGAGAUGACUGGAUGUCAGACUAUGAUGUCAACCAGGUUGAGGGGACCCCAAAGGCCAUCUAGUCCAGCUAUGCAGGAAAGCCCAACUCCAGCACUCCCGGAAGUGUGGGCUGACCACAGAAUGGGCUGCACUUAGGCCCCUUGGUAAACCUUUCAGCCAAUGGGAGAUGACUGGAUGUCGGACCAUGAUGUGUGUCAACAAGGUUGAGAAUCUGCACCACAGAUUACAUUGUGUGAAUUCACGCAUCCUCAUCUGUACUUCAAAUGGCUUUCCUCUUCCCUGCUUUUGCAAAAACAGCUGCUUGGAAGGAACUGAAUUCCUUAUUAUGCCGGGAGGAAAAAAGCGCUCAGCCAGGCCUCCUUCCUUUCCUUUCCUUUCCAUUGAGAGUGGAAGGAAGAGGUGUCGCCUUCAGCAGAAUGAGGCAACUGCUUUGUGGUUUUUGUGCAAAUCAAACAUUUCCUGCCGCAAAGAUGUCAUUUCGGAGGAAUAACUGGGCCGCUGGAGGAGACCUCGCUUGCCCUCGCUCGUCACGAAGGCUUUGGCGCAGGACUCAGUUGUGCGCACAGAUGUUGCAACAUUGCACCACUGGAAGUAGAAUGACAGAAUUGUAGAAUUGGAGGAGACCACAUGGACCAUCCAGUCCACCCAAUGCAUCUAUGCACGAACCCCGUUUUUUGGCAACCAAUAUCAAUGUGCAAACAUCCACAAGUGCUGAUGCAUAUAUCAUGGCGCUCCCGCAGCCUGGAAACGACCGCAGCCGAUGCGUAUCGAGCACGAAUGGCCAUCUGUUCCCGUGGGAGGCUGCGGAGGACGUACGCCACUGUUAAAAAGCCACAAAUGACAAAGAUCAAACGUGGCAUCGACCCCAAAAUGACGGGCUGCAGAUGCCUGAUCAAACAGAAGAAGAGCAGCGCAAGCAAAGGGAAGCCGGAGACCGUCAAGGGCUGGAAAUGAAGCCGGGUUCUCUGCUGAGGCUCAGGCUUGGAUGGUCCUGGCCUUCUCCUCCUUCCUUCAGAGCCGCCCAAGUGGCUGCCGGCUAAGAAUAUAAUUGCUUUGCUUUAAUUGCAUUUGCGGAAGGGAAGGGGAGCGUGUGCAGCCGUGUCUGCUCUGCCGCUGUUGUGCAUCUGCACACAUUUUGCACACACACAUACAUAGACACACCCAGUGGCACACGGCAGGUAAAAGGAAGGGGAGGCCAGUGGAGUGGAAACCCAAAUCGAGAGGGAAGAAGGAGGGAACGAAGCGGAGGCAGAGGCGGCGGAGGCGGAGGAGUGUUGGGAGAUGGUAAUGAGGGCAGGUCCGUCCUGGGCGGAUUCUGCUGGGUCGGCAGCGGGAGGCUCCUCGCCCGGCAGCUGCGGGGAUGAUUUAUUACACGCUCACUACAUUUGCCCCGUAGGAAGGUAAAUAAAACGUACACACUGUCCCAUUUACUCAGACAAUCGAGGGAUAUGACCUAAUUUCUCUUCGGCUGCAAAUGUUUCUCUCCGCGCGAUAGGACUCCCGGGAAGUGCGCCGAUCCUCAUUUCCACAUCCAGGAAUGCAGCAGCACCCCAUCUCUCAGUCAGCGGGGCCAGGAAGGUGCCCAUGCUCCAUGUGCCGUAUAUACUCAAGUAUGAGGCAACCCGAAUACAAGCCAAGGCACCUCCACAAAAAACUGGGAAAACGUAUUGACUCGAGUCUAAGACGAAAGUGGGAAAUGAAACAGCUACUGGUAAAUUUCAAAAAUAAAAACAGAUACCAAAAAUUACAUUAAUUGAGGCAUCAUUAGGUUACAUGUUUUUGAAUAUUUACAUAAAACGGUAAUUUGACAUAAUAACAAGACUGCCCAACUCUGAUUUCCUAUAUACUAUAUAUACCCAGCUCAUUGUAUGUUCCUAUAUACCCAGCUCAUUGUAUGUUUUUUAUUGCUGUGUUUGUCAUGUGUUUUAUAAUGAUCGUGAUUUUUAAUGCCUUUUAAAUGUAUUUGUGUGUUUUUGUAUUUGAUAUUACUGUAUGCUGGUUUUAUAUCUGUAAGCCGCCCCGAGUCCCUCUGGGGAGAUGGUGGCGGGGUACAAAAAUAAAAUUAUUAUUAUUAUUA